rnacentral:rRNA from 1 species
UACAUGUGGGGCAAGCGUUGUUCGGAAUUACUGGGCCUAAAGGGUGCGUAGGCGGUUUGUUAAGUCAGGGGUGAAAGUUUUCGGCCCAACCGGAAAAUUGCCUUUGAUACUGGCGAACUUGAGUGCGUGAGGGGUAACCGGAACGAGCAGUGUAGCGGUGAAAUGCGUAGAUAUUGCUCGGAAGGCCAACGGCGAAGGCAGGUUACUGGUACGCAACUGACGCUGAGACACGAAAGCGUGGGGAGCAAACAGG